ensembl:lncRNA
AUUUCCCUGGAGAAAUUUCCCUACGUACCUGAGGCCUUUUGAAUGCAAGCAGCUUUUUUUCUUGUGUUCAUUGCUGUUGCGUUUGAGAUGUGUGACUCACUUGCUGCAGCCUUGGGUCUUGCUGCUCUGAUGUUUUGUUUUGCUUUCCAUUGUACUAUAUCCUGUUUUAUUCAUUUUAAGAAAUAGAGCAUAAGGAGAGUCCUCCAGUACACCCAACUGUGACACUUCGAUUCCUUCUCUCUAGUUCAUAUUGCUGGGGGAAUUAGACUUCUUUACAGGCCCCAGUACUUUGUCUGAUCCCAUCAAUGUUCCAGCACAUCUCAUGCAUUCCAUGCUCCGUUAUCUUUGAGUUCAUCAGAUUCAGUUGCUUAACCAUCUCCUGCUCAUCCCCUCACCACUCACUGGCUCCAUCUAUCUCUCUCCAUGCACAGCCCUCUUCCUCCAGCUGCAGCAUCUUCUAUUCCAGCCUUCACUGCUGUGGUUGCCUCACCUUGCCAUUGCAUCUGCCUGACCAUCUGUUGAAUCAUCUGCAAUAUAAAUAACAGCUAGUGACAAAUAAUAGCUAAGGACACCCUCCUGUAAUAAUAUGGUGGACUUAUUGGAUGUCUGCCACUUUGUACCAUUUUCUUAUUUUACUUUGCAGGUCACAAUUGCAUGAUAAUAUAAAAGGGCUUUAAUACUUAUGUAGCUUGAAGUCCUUGGGCUACUUUGUGCAUGGUCUUUGUAUUUCUCCUCAAAGAUUUUAUUAUUCAGUACCCCUUUUUCACUGAUAUUGUAUUUCCAUAACAGAAGAGAUCAUAAAAUAGGUCCUUAUUCUGUGUUUCUUCAUUCCGUUAAAGAUUUUAUCACACUAGUUGCAAUGGAUAACAGACAAUCACAUUUUAAAUCAACCAUAUUUCACUAUUUACAUCAGGAAAAUGCUGAUAACUGUAGAACUGAACUUACUCUGGUGUAACUUGAAGCCCUUCCCUCUAGUUCUAGUAGUUGUUCAGGAGAAGAGGCUGAUUCCUACUACGCCACUGUCCUUUCAGGGAGCUCUAUAGAGCAAUAAGGUCUCCCUUGAGCCUC